AAAGCUGAAGAGGAAUCUCAGGCUGCAAUAUUCUAUUUCACAGCAGCUUGGUGUGGUCCCUGUAGAUUAUUAUCACCCAUGCUUGGACAGCUCACUCAGAAGUAUCCACAUGUAACAACUUAUAAAAUAGAUAUUGAUAAGAAAGGGCUGGAGAAUGCAGUGAGCAAGUCAAAUAUUCACUCUGUGGAAUGAAUACUGGCAUCUGGUUUCUACAUACUUCUUGAACUUGGAGGCCGCAUUCCAAGGGAAUUUGGAUUGAAUGGAGUGGCCCAACUGCUAAUUAAACUCCAAAAAAUAUUGAAGCUCAGGGAAGGACGUACUCACUUGUUAUGGAAUUGUUCUCCAGGAAUAUUCUAUUGACUCUACAAUUUGUGGAUACUUGAUUUAUAGUGGGGAAUGUUUCUAGUUCGACUUGUACAACCGACACUUGUACGGACUUGGUUAGGCUUACAAGGGUUAAGUUGGACAGCUCCGAAUUGGUUUUGAGCCAUGUACACAGAGAAGUACUGAGAGAGUUGCUUGGACGAAACAUAUCAUGUGUAUACCAAGUUGUCUCUCAGAAAAAUGGUCAGUUCCUUCUCUCCCAUUAUAGAGCUGUAUUUUGUGCUUUUUUCUCUUUCUAAUCCCAACAUCUCUAACUACUAUUUCAAUGUUGGUUGAUUCCUGAGUAUAGUUGUCCCUUGCAAUUAUAUGAGCUGUGUGGUCUUCUCCUUCAUUAUUCUGACCGUGCUUUAUUUCAAUAAUUACAUUGCUGGAGUUCUAGUUUUA